AUUGAACGCUGGCGGCAGGCCUAACACAUGCAAGUCGAACGGUAACAGAAAGCAGCUUGCUGCUUUGCUGACGAGUGGCGGACGGGUGAGUAAUGUCUGGGAAACUGCCUGAUGGAGGGGGAUAACUACCGGAAACGGUAGCUAAUACCGCAUAACGUCGCAAGACCAAAGAGGGGGACCUUCGGGCCUCUUGCCAUCGGAUGUGCCCAGAUGGGAUUAGCUAGUAGGUGGGGUAACGGCUCACCUAGGCGACGAUCCCUAGCUGGUCUGAGAGGAUGACCAGCCACACUGGAACUGAGACACGGUCCAGACUCCUACGGGAGGCAGCAGUGGGGAAUAUUGCACAAUGGGCGCAAGCCUGAUGCAGCCAUGCCGCGUGUAUGAAGAAGGCCUUCGGGUUGUAAAGUACUUUCAGCGGGGAGGAAGGGAGUAAAGUUAAUACCUUUGCUCAUUGACGUUACCCGCAGAAGAAGCACCGGCUAACUCCGUG
rnacentral:rRNA from 1 species